rnacentral:tmRNA from 1 species
GGGGACGAAACGGAUUCGACAGGGUAAGAAAGAAGAAAAGUGCAAGUAGUCAAAGGUACCAGCAGACUUUAAACGCAGAUACAAAACAUAAUUGCUAAUAACAAUAACAACUUCGAAUCUGUCCGCUUAGCGGCUUAAUCGGGAGGCUGGUUAGAGCCUUCUUUCCAAUCUAUCCAAAACAACAGACAAGUUGUAAAAAUCAAACCACCCAUCGCAACAGGGUAGUAAGCGAUGUGGAACAAACUACCUCCACUUGGCUGUAUGUGGAGUAUAAACGGUCCAAACUUGUGAAUGACUUUAAUUAGACUUAUCUUGGACGCGGGUUCGACUCCCGCCGUCUCCACCA